UAACCAAGGUUUAUACGGGUAUCCGACAUGAGAGGGUGACCGGCCUCACUGGGAAUGAGGCACGGCCCAGACUCCUACGGGAGGCAGCAGUGAGGAAUAAUUGACAAUGGGAAAAAGCCUGAUCCAGCAACGCCGCGUGAGGGAUGGCGGCCUUCGGGUUGUAAACCUCUUUCAGCAGGGACGAAGCAAAAGUGACGGUACCUGCAGAAGAAGCACCGGCCAAUUACAUGCCAGCAGCCGCGGUAAUGCGUAGGGCGCGAGCGUUGUCCGGAAUUAUUGGGCGUAAAGGGCUCGUAGGCGGUUUGUCACGUCGGGAGUGAAAACUCAGGGCUUAACCCUGAGCCUGCUUUCGAUACGGGCAGACUAGAGGUAUGCAGGGGAGAACGGAAUUCCUGGUGUAGCGGUGAAAUGCGCAGAUAUCAGGAGGGACACCGGUGGCGAAGGCGGUUCUCUGGGCAUUACCUGACGCUGAGGAGCGAAAGUGUGGGGAGCGAACAGGAUUAGAUACCCUGGUAGUCCACACCGUAAACGUUGGGCGCUAGGUGUGGGACUCAUUCCACGAGUUCCGUGCCGCAGCUAACGCAUUAAGCGCCCCGCCUGGGGAGUACGGCCGCAAGGCUAAAACUCAAACGAAUUGACGG
rnacentral:rRNA from 1 species